rnacentral:rRNA from 1 species
UACAGAGGGUGCGAGCGUUAAUCGGAAUUACUGGGCGUAAAGCGUGCGCAGGCGGUUAUAUAAGACAGUUGUGAAAUCCCCGGGCUCAACCUGGGAACUGCAUCUGUGACUGUAUAGCUAGAGUACGGUAGAGGGGGAUGGAAUUCCGCGUGUAGCAGUGAAAUGCGUAGAUAUGCGGAGGAACACCGAUGGCGAAGGCAAUCCCCUGGACCUGUACUGACGCUCAUGCACGAAAGCGUGGGGAGCAAACAGG